GGCACACUUACAUUGGGAAAAUGGGCAAGAUUCCCUUUUAAGUCCGCAAGAGGAAAGGAACGAAACAAACUACUGGAACCAAACAUGGAAAUGAUGGUUGAAGACCAAGACUGCGAACCAAUCAAGCUAAAGCGUUAAAGUUGCUCUGAUUAUUAAAUGAAGAUCUAUUUUCC
rnacentral:lncRNA from 1 species